rnacentral:rRNA from 1 species
CCGUGUGCUCAGGGAGGAUGGAGCGUCGAUCUAGGUCGAUCUCUCGCACUCUCGAGGCGUCUCGUUUCCAAUUCGUGAAUGUGGAUGUGCUCUGAGCAUAAAUGCUGGGACCCGAAAGAUGGUGAACUAUGCCUGGUCAGGUCGAAGUCAGGGGAAACCUUGAUGGAGGACCGUAGCGAUUCUGACGUGCAAAUCGAUCGUCGGAACUGGGUAUAGGGGCGAAAGACUAAUCGAACCAUCUAGUAGCUGGUUCCGUCCGAAGUUUCCCUCAGGAUAGCUGGCGUCGAUCAACUCAGUCUCAUCUGGUAAAGCGAAUGAUUAGAGGCAUUGGGGUCGAAACGAUCACAACCUAUUCUCAAACUUUAAAUGGGUGAGACCUCCGGCUUACUCGAAUGAUGAAGCCGGAGAUACGAUGACGGUGCCAAGUGGGCCAUUUUUGGUAAGCAGAACUGGCGCUGUGGGAUGAACCAAACGUAGUGUUAAGGCGCCCAAAAAAAUGUUCAAAGAUACCAGAAAGACGUAAGUCAUAUAAGACAUCAGGACGGUGGCCAUGGAAGUCGGCAUCCGCUAAGGAGUGUGCAACGACUCACCUGCAUAGGAUGGCUUGCUCUGAAAAUGGAUGGCGCUCAAACGUUUUGCCUAUACACUACCGUUACGUACAUGUGCGACGUCUUUGUGAUGUCAUUAAGUCGUAACGAGUAGGACGUGCGCGGCGGAGAGCGCAGAAGGGUCUGGGCGUGAGCCUGCCUGGAGCCUCCGUCGGUGCAGAUCUUGGUGGUAGUAGCAAAUACUCCGGUGAGGGCCUGGAGGACUGACGUGGAGAAGGGUUUCGCGUAAACAGUAGUUGUUCGCGAGUUAGUCGAUCCUAAGCUCUAGGAGAAAUCUUAUGUUGAUGAGGCGUGUUUUUUCUAAAAAUGUUACAUCUUGAUGGUACGUUCGAUGAUAAGCAACGCCCUCUGAGCGAAAGGGAAUCCGGCUUUUAUUCCGGAACCCGGCAGCGGAACCGUUUCAAUAUUCGUGCUCUCGUUUCACAACGAGUGUUCGACGGGGUAACCCAAAAUGGCCUGAAGACGCCGCCGAAAGGUCUGGGAAGAGUUUUCUUUUCUGCCUGAGCGUUCGAGUUCCAUGGAAUCCUAUAGAAGGGAGAUAUGGUUCGGAACGCGAAGAGCACUGCGCUUGUAGCGGUGUCCGGAUCCUUUCUGCGGACCUUGAAAAUUCAGGUGAGGGAUGUACGAGGAGAUGUCGCGCCGGUUCGUACCCAUAUCCGCAGCAGGUCUCCAAGGUGAAGAGCCUCUAGUCGAUAGAAUAAUGUAGGUAAGGGAAGUCGGCAAAUUAGAUCCGUAACUUCGGGACAAGGAUUGGCUCUGAGGAUCGGGGUGGUCGGGCUUGGACAUGAAACAGGAGUGCUAGCUUGCUUGACUUUACGCACGCGCCUCUCGGGGUGUGUUUAGUACUUGCGGUUGGGACUUUGGUCGAAUAUCCUUGCUUUGAAAGCCGACUCAGUUGCGCCACAAGCGCGACCGACGAGGUCUCUUCGAUCACCGUUCACCGGUCAGCUCAGAACUGGCACGGACAAGGGGAAUCCGACUGUCUAAUAAAAACAAAGCAUUGCGAUGGUCCUAGCGGAUGUUGACGCAAUGUGAUUUCUGCCCAGUGCUUUGAAUGUCAACAUGAAGAAAUUCAAGCAAGCGCGGGUAAACGGCAAGAGUAACUAUGACUCUUCAAAGGUAGCCAAAUGCCUCGUCAUCUAAUUAGUGACGCGCAUGAAUGGAUUAACGAGAUUCCCACUGUCCCUAUCUACUAUCUAGCGAAACCACAGCCAAGGGAACGGGCUUGGGAGAAUCAGCGGGGAAAGAAGACCCUGUUGAGCUUGACUCUAGUCUGGUACUGUACGGAGACACGAGAGGUGUAGCAAAGUGGGAGGUCGUUGAGGCGAUCAUCGCUGAAAAACCACUACUCUCAUUGUUUCUGUACUAACUCGGUUAAGCGGAAGCGGUGCGUUGUCAAUUAUAGCGACAAACGUACUGGCUUUUGUGAUCCAAGCGCAGAAAUAUUGAACCUAGUGACUCCACCGUCACUCUUGUUCAAGCUCCGCGUGAGCCGGUUCGAGGACACUGCCAGGCGGGGAGUUUGACUGGGGCGGUACACCUGUCAAAUAAUAACGCAGGUGUCCUAAGGCCAGCUCAGCGAGGACAGAAACCUCGCGUAGAGCAGAAGGGCAAAAGCUGGCUUGAUCCUGAUGUUCAGUACGCAUAGGGACUGCGAAAGCACGGCCUAUCGAUUUUCUUGUGUAAAGAGUUUUUAGCAAGAAGUGUCAGAAAAGUUACCACAGGGAUAACUGGUUUGUGGCAGCCUAGCAUCCGCAGCGACGUUGCAGUUUGAUCCUUCGAUGUCGGCUCUU